rnacentral:rRNA from 1 species
UUGACGGGCCGGCACAAGCGGAGGAGCAUGUGGUUUAAUUCGAUGAUACGCGAGGAACUUACCUGGGCUCGAACGUAAGAUGACUGUAGGUGAAAGCUUACAUCUCCUCGGAGCAUUUUACGAGGUGCUGCAUGGUUGUCGUCAGCUCGUGCCGUGAGGUGUCGGGUUAAGUCCCAUAACGAGCGCAACCCCUACCUUUAGUUGCCAUCAGGUUAAGCUGGGGACUCUAAAGGAACUGCCUACGCAAGUAGUGAGGAAGCGGGGAUGACGUCAAAUCAGCACGGCCCUUACGUCCAGGGCUACACACGUGCUACAAUGGCCGAUACAGAGGGCAGCUACCUGGUGACAGGAUGCAAAUCUCCAAAGUCGGUCUCAGUUCGGAUCGGAGUCUGCAACCCGACUCCGUGAAGUUGGAUUCGCUAGUAAUCGCGCAUCAGCCAUGGCGCGGUGAAUACGUUCCCGGGCCUU